UAAUACGAAGGGGGCUAGCGUUGCUCGGAAUUACUGGGCGUAAAGGGCGCGUAGGCGGCCCUGCAAGUCAGGCGUGAAAUUCCCGGGCUCAACCUGGGGGCUGCGCUUGAGACUGCGGGGCUAGAGGCCGAGAGAGGGUGGUGGAAUUCCCAGUGUAGAGGUGAAAUUCGUAGAUAUUGGGAAGAACACCGGUGGCGAAGGCGGCCACCUGGCUCGGUACUGACGCUGAGGCGCGACAGCGUGGGGAGCAAACAGG
rnacentral:rRNA from 1 species